UACGAUGAAGAGUUUGAUCCUGGCUCAGGAUGAACGCUAGCGGCAGGCUUAACACAUGCAAGUCGAGGGGCAGCACGUCUUCGGAUGGUGGCGACCGGCGCACGGGUGCGUAACGCGUAUAGAACCUACCUUUUACAGAGGGAUAGCCCAGAGAAAUUUGGAUUAAUACCUCAUAGUAUUAUAAAGUGGCAUCAUUUAAUAAUUAAAACUUCGGUGGUAAAAGAUGGCUAUGCGUUCUAUUAGCUAGUAGGUAAGGUAACGGCUUACCUAGGCAACGAUAGAUAGGGGUCCUGAGAGGGAGAUCCCCCACACUGGUACUGAGACACGGACCAGACUCCUACGGGAGGCAGCAGUGAGGA
rnacentral:rRNA from 1 species